rnacentral:lncRNA from 1 species
AGUGGUAAAACACUAGAUUUUUACAAAAUUAGUGCAUAAUUCUUUUUUUUUUUUGGUUGAUAAAAAUUUGGUGUGUGUAUUUUGAAAUAAAAUGUCUGUAGUGGUACAGUGUGUGUUCAUGAUCUGCGAUCUUCUGUUUCUUCUCUAAUACAGGGUGGAUGUAAAACGGCCCAAAUAUUAAAGCUUCAAGGAAUCCUUCCAUCUGCAUUGUUUGACAGAUUUAUUCCAAGCACUGAUGAGGACAAAAGCUCCUUGGAUAUCUGAGGAUUCUGCUUUUUGAUCAAAUGCACAUAAGCAACUCCUGUUUCAACGCAUUUAUUCAUAAAUACAGUAAGUCUGAGUUAUAAUAAAGCAUAAUACACUCUCUGGAAUGCAGUCUGUCAUUCAGCUCUUCAUUAUAUAAUUACCACUGGACAUUUUAUUGCCAACAUGAUAAAUAUGAUUAAAUGGGAAAAUAAAGUAGGAAACCAAACAGUUUCUGGUAGCCAUUGACUUCCAUAGGAAAAUAAACGUGGAACCAAACAGUUUCUGGUAGGCCAUUGACUUCCAUAGUAUUUUAUCAGUCUGUUUGAAAUCUCAUUCUGACGGCACCCAUUCACUUCAGCG